rnacentral:misc_RNA from 1 species
GAAAUGCGAUAAGUAAUGUGAAUUGCAGAAUUCAGUGAAUCAUCGAAUCUUUGAACGCACCUUGCGCUCCUUGGUAUUCCUUGGAGCAUGCCUGUUUGAGUAUCAUGAAAUCUUCAAAGUAAAUCUUUUGUUAACUCAAUUGGUUUCUACUUUGGUAUUGGAGGUCUUUGCAGCUUCACACCUGCUCCUCUUUGUUCAUUAGCUGGAUCUCAGUGUUAUGCUUGGUUCCACUCGGCGUGAUAAGUUAUCUAUCGCUGAGGACACUGUAAAAGGUGGCCAAGGUAAAUGCAGAUGAACCGCUUCUAAUAGUCCAUUGACUUGGACAAUACUUUUAUAUCUGAUCUCAAAUCAGGUAGGACUACCCGCUGAACUUAAGC